GAUGAAGAACGUAGCGAAAUGCGAUAAGUAAUGUGAAUUGCAGAAUUCAGUGAAUCAUCGAAUCUUUGAACGCACAUUGCGCCCCCUGGAAUUCCGGGGGGCAUGCCUGUCCGAGCGUCAUUACAACCCUCAAGCUCAGCUUGGUGUUGGGCCCCGCCGCCCCGGCGGGCCCUAAAGUCAGUGGCGGUGCCGUCCGGCUCCGAGCGUAGUAAUUCUUCUCGCUCUGGAGGUCCGGUCGUGUGCUCGCCAGCAACCCCCAAUUUUUUUCAGGUUGACCUCGGAUCAGGUAGGGAUACCCGCUGAACUUAAGCAUAUCAAUAAGCGGAGGA
rnacentral:misc_RNA from 1 species